GACGAACGCUGGCGGCGUGCCUAAUACAUGCAAGUCGAACGCAGAGGGGACGGGUGAGUGACACGAGGGUAACCUCCCAUUAGAGGGGAUAACACUUGGAAACAGGUGCCAAAACCGCUACUGGCGGAUGGUCCGGCGGUUCAUUAGCUGGUUGGGGUGGUAACGGCUUACCAGGGCCACGAUGCAUAGGCGGCCUGAGAGGGUGACCGGCCACACUGGGACUGAGACACGGCCCAGACUCCUACGGGAGGCAGCAGUUGGGAAUCUUCGGCAAUGUACGAAAGUUUGACCGAGCAACGCCGCGUGAGUGAAGAAGGUUUUCGGAUCGUAAAACUCUGUUGUUAGAGAAGCGGUAUCUAACCAGAAAGCCACGGCUAACUACGUGCCAGCAGCCGCGGUAAUUC
rnacentral:rRNA from 1 species